UAUUUUGGUCAUAUUCAAGUUUAUUAGCUGACUCCUUGUAUUAACAGAUCAACACGUGGAUUGCUUUUUUGACAGCUGCGAAGUAAUUAACCUACACUUUACCAAAAGCUCUUGCAAACAGACGCCGCCCUUCUCUUGCUCAUCCCUUGCUCAUAUGCUCUUCCCUUGCUCAUCUUCUUCUGAUCUUUGCACUUUGGCGGAUUACUCUGGGCCAAGAACUGAAAUGGAAUAUCAAGAUUUUGUUUGUGGAUUUUUGAUAGGUUGUAUCACCGUGAAGAAAUGGUGUUCAUAACAACAAAAAGCCAGCUGCAGCUUAAGCCCCAAAGUUAACUCCUUCUCACUGUUAUAUUGAUAAAAUAGAAGAAAGACUUAGUAUUAGUGAAAUUACACCACUCACUACAGAAUGGACUUGCAAAGUCCAGGCUGUAGACAAAUUUCGGCCACGAGACAGUAGAGAUCAACGAGUUCGUUUUCAGACAAUAAUUGUCCAGGAUGUAAACGAGGAACAAAUUUGUGUGAUACUCUAUGGUGACGAUAUUAGACGAUGUUGAUAACUUGUUCGAACUUUUUGAGACAUAUCUGAUUUCAACUGCCAAGGUUAGAAAUCUGCAGCCUUAUUCACUACAUAUAGGCCAGUUUGAAUGGAUCGUUGACUGAUUUACUAUUGUGGAGUCUAUCCCAAAAAAUAAUGAAAAGGAGGCACCAUUACCUCCUCCGUUGAAACUGAGUAUGAUUUCGUUCGUCGACGUUAAAAAACAGCCUUCCGGUGUUGAAUUUGAUCUAUUAGCUGUGGUGGCAAACUGUGGGGCAAUGCAAUACACCGCUGAUCAGAGUAAGAGAUUUCAAGAAGCCAUAGUUAUGGACAAAACGAAGAAACCUCUUUUCUUCACUAUAUGGGAAGACUUGGCAAGUAAUGAAGGAGCUGAGUUACUGAGACAAGUGAGGCAACUACAAGAAUAUCCUGUUAUUCUCGCGAAGCGGAUAGGUACAACAAAAUACCGUGGUGGAUAAAUCAGAACAAACAAAUGCUAAUGGAAUACACAGUGAAAAGUUCAGCGGAGUCAGCUUCAUCGCUUAAUCUUGUAGCUGUUGACGAUGAAAUAUUAUGUGUUUCAGCUAUUGCUACGCAAACUUCCACUGCGGAAAUUUUUUACGUCGAAGUAGAAAUUUCGCUACCUGAGCAUUACCAACGAUUUUAUCUGCUAGGUUGUUCUGAAUGUAACCAUCUUGUUCGGAGCAAAAUAAAAAGGGAGAUUCAAUGCAUAAACUACAGGCUGCCACGAAUGUUAAUUCCAAGGUAACAACUGCUACUAAUAAGAUUAUGUCAUUGACAAUAUUUGAUAUUGUAUGACAUCCAUUGUACCUCAACCGAAAUAAUUUACAACAUACAUAUCAUAUGUGCCACUUUGAGGUAGAAAUUACAGACGAAACUGGCACAACAACAACAACAGUGUCUGAAGGCUUGGACGAAAGAAUGUUAUCAAUGAGAGCUGAACAGAUAUAUGAUAUCAUCAGUGUUAAGGUACAUACACAUACAACAUUGCAGUUAACAUAAGUCAACAAAGUUACUACUUGCAGAUAAACUGUUCAGAGUUCAGCUACAAAGGUCAUCAUCCAAAACACCGGACAAAAAUGCAGGUUCUCUGGUUCUUUUAUCAUACACUGAAAAACCAACCAUGUUUCUACCAGAAGAGUCAACAUCUGUGAGUGGUGCCGACAGAAUUAUGGAAGAGGAGCCAAUACUUGUGACUGAUGCAAAAGCAACUAAGAAACGGAAAAUGGAACCAAGUACCACUACCAAAGCCACAGUCAAGAUUGUCGAGGCAAUGAUGUUCGCUCAGACGGUAUGCGAUGUACAGACACAUUUUGACAAAUUAUACCGAUCUUUUAACAAAGUUUAGAUAGUUGGCCGCCUUAACAAAGUGUUCCACAUUUUUUGCGUAAAUAGUUGUCAGUAGUGUGUGCUUAUGUUUUUGAAGGCAAUUGAUAUUAUUUUUUGGAUAUUGGAGCGGCCAGAUGUUGUAGAAUGACAUCUUAUAAUUAGGAUCCAUAUACAUUUCCGAAAUUGUGGUACCAGUCUGUUUAUUGAAAUGUAGAAAUUGAAUGUAGUGUUGUUGCAUGUCCUAUCACAUUUAAGAAGUAUUAUGAGCUGGUUGACAUCAA